CCUACGGGUGGCAGCAGUGGGGAAUAUUGGACAAUGGGCGAAAGCCUGAUCCAGCCAUGCCGCGUGUGUGAAGAAGGCCUUCGGGUUGUAAAGCACUCUCAGUGGGGAAGAAAGCCUUGGGGCUAAUACCCUCGAGGAAGGACAUCACCCACAGAAGAAGCACCGGCUAACUCCGUGCCAGCAGCCGCGGUAAUACGGAGGGUGCGAGCGUUAAUCGGAAUUACUGGGCGUAAAGCGCGCGUAGGCGGUCUGAUAAGCCGGUUGUGAAAGCCCCGGGCUCAACCUGGGAACGGCAUCCGGAACUGUCAGGCUAGAGUGCAGGAGAGGAAGGUAGAAUUCCCGGUGUAGCGGUGAAAUGCGUAGAGAUCGGGAGGAAUACCAGUGGCGAAGGCGGCCUUCUGGACUGACACUGACGCUGAGGUGCGAAAGCGUGGGUAGCAAACAGGAUUAGAUACCCUGGUAGUC
rnacentral:rRNA from 1 species